AUAACAUACGGACCGUCGGUAUCUCUACCGAGAAAUAUUACCCGCUCGGUGGAAGAUAUUUCCUUUCGUCGU
rnacentral:pre_miRNA from 1 species